GCUGGGAGCUGCGGGGUCUGCCUGGCCUGAGGAGGGACUGGCUUCCACCACCGAGUCAGGCUUCAGGUCUGGGAGAGAACAAACUUGACACAAAGGAAGCCUUUGUAACUACUUAGUGGUGCCAAGACCUAAAGAUUUCAGGUUAAGUCUGUCUGAAGAAGAAGCAAGAGGUGGCUAGAGCUGCAUGACCUAUGCUGUCUGAGCCCCAGACUUCUCCAAGGCCCUGGCUACCUCCCCUCAGGGUGGCUGCUGGGUAUGCCGGUUGCGUGCUGCCCUCUGCUGGCCAGUCUGUGGUCUCGGGGGAGGCUGGGGAGCAAUGGGAGGGGCAGGGUAGGUUAAUGUCUGGUGGGAAGAGCUCUGGGGAAGGAAACAGGAGCCACAGGGUGUCCCAGGAACUGCAGGUGAGAAUGAGAGCCAAGGCCUAAAGUCCACGAGGAGGGGAAAUGGGAGCCCAUGAGCCUACAGGACAGCCCUGGCCAGUGGGGGAGCAAGGGAAGGUGGCCCAGGAGGUGCAGGAAGCUCACAGGAGAGGCACCACGGACUCCUCACAGCAACCAGGACCAGCUGACCCCUCAGGGACUCGCCACCCCUCCUGACUGCUCUGUCAGAGCUGGUCUGUACCAGGGACCCAGGAGGCCCAGGUGUAAGCCAGAGACACCACCUGAGGAGGCUGGAGGUUGGGGGGCCGGGUCAGGCCUGGUGCUCCCCUCUCCCGGGAGUAAGGGCAUAAAGAAGGGGCUACAAUUCCAGUCCCCGUGGCCCUGACACUUGAAAAUUCAGAGUCAGAGCAGGAACCCGGCCAUGUGGGGCCAGUGAAAGCAUCCAGGGAAAGGAAGGAGCGAGUCCCACAGCAAGAAUGGACAGGACAGCCCAGUACUCCUCACGUCACUCAGCGUUCCAGAGAAUGGGAGGACGGACGCGGAGGAAACAACAAACCCACACUCUUUUUAUAUAAGGUUUCAUAUUUAAUUUGGUCAUGGAUUCAUAAAUACAUGAAUAUUUUGUACUU